GAACUCCAAUUUGAAUGAUUCAGGUUUCAGUUGGUGAUAUUGUGGUGACUCCAAUUUGAAUCAAUCAAUUUAUUCCAAUUUGUUCUUUUGAAGCUACUUCAGGAAAAUCAACACUUGUGGUGGUGUUGAUGGUGGAGGUGCAGGUUUUGGAGGAGGAUGAGGAGGCAGUGGUGGUACUGGAUCAGAUUUGGAAGAUAAUUUGUAUUUGGAGUUAGUGGUGGUGUUUUGGUAUGAAGCUGAGAGGUUUGGUAUGGAUGUUAGAGCUGUGUUAGACAUUGUUUCAGAUAACUUCAUAAAAGCUAAUUGCUUAAACGUGGUAAUGAUCUCGCUGGAACUGGA